rnacentral:rRNA from 1 species
GACGAACGCUGGUGGCGUGCUUAACACAUGCAAGUCGAACGGGAUUUAGUAUACAGAUGCCUCGGGGGCAGAUUACUUAUGAGCGUGGUGGACGAGGGGGUAAUACGUGGGCAAUCUCCCUCUGACUACGGGGUAGUCACAGGUAACAACGGUUACUACCACCUAAAAUCGUAAAAACACAUGUUUUAACAGUCAAAGAUAUAUCGGUCAUAGAUGGGCUCGCGUCGGAUUAGCUAGUUGGUGAGGUAACAGCCCACCAAGGCGACGAUCAGUAGCCGGUCUGAGAGGAUGAACGGCCACAUUGGAACUGAGACACGGUCCAAACUCCUACGGGAGGCAGCAGUGGGGAAUAUUGCACAAUGGGCGAAACCCUGAUGCAGCGACGCCGCGUGAACGAAGAAGUUAUUCGUAACGUAAAGUUCUGUCCGAUGGGAAGAUAAUGACAGUACCAUAGAAGAAAGCUCCGGCUAAAUACGUG